GUCAGGCAGCGGGCGAGGCGGCGGGCAGCUAGCAGCUGGCGGACGCGACCCGGAGGCGGUGGGGGUGCGGCUGGGCCAUGCCCGGUGGCGCGGCCUGAGCCCCUCCACCUGCUGCAAGCAUGAAGGACAGCGGGGACUCCAAGGACCAGCAACUCAUGGUGGCGCUUCGGGUCCGGCCCAUCAGCGUGGCAGAGCUGGAGGAAGGAGCUACCCUCAUCGCCCAUAAAGUGGAUGAGCAGAUGGUUGUUCUCAUGGACCCAAUGGAGGAUCCCGACGACAUCCUGCGGGCACAUCGCUCCCGGGAGAAGUCCUACCUGUUCGACGUGGCCUUUGACUUCACCGCCACCCAGGAGAUGGUGUAUCAGGCCACCACGAAGAGCCUCAUCGAAGGCGUCAUCUCAGGCUACAAUGCCACUGUCUUUGCCUAUGGCCCCACAGGCUGUGGGAAAACCUACACCAUGCUGGGCACAGACCAGGAGCCCGGCAUCUAUGUUCGGACCCUCAAUGACCUCUUCCAUGCCAUCGAGGAGACCAGCAAUGACAUGGAGUAUGAGGUCUCCAUGUCCUACCUGGAGAUCAUGCAGCUGCUGAUGAAGGGGAACCGGCAGAGGACCCAGGAGCCCACGGCCGCCAACCAGACGUCCUCCCGCUCCCACGCGGUGCUGCAGGUGGCCGUGCGCCAGCGCAGCCGGGUCAAGAACAUCUUGCAAGAGGUGCGGCACGGCCGCCUGUUCAUGAUCGACCUGGCUGGCUCGGAGCGUGCCUCCCAGACACAGAAUCGUGGGCAGCGUAUGAAGGAGGGGGCCCACAUCAACCGCUCACUGCUGGCACUGGGCAACUGCAUCAACGCCCUGAGCGACAAGGGUAGCAACAAGUACAUCAACUAUCGCGACAGCAAGCUCACCCGGCUCCUGAAGGACUCUCUGGGAGGAAACAGCCGCACAGUGAUGAUCGCUCACAUCAGUCCUGCGAGCAGUGCCUUCGAGGAGUCCCGGAACACCCUGACCUAUGCCGGCCGGGCCAAGAACAUCAAGACGAGGGUGAAGCAGAACCUGCUGAACGUCUCCUACCACAUCGCCCAGUACACCAGCAUCAUCGCUGACCUGCGGGGCGAGAUCCAGCGACUCAAGUGCAAGAUUGAUGAGCAGACUGGGCGGGGCCAGGCCCGGGGCCGGCAGGAUCGGGGUGACAUCCGCCACAUCCAAGCCGAGGUCCAGCUGCGCAGCGGGCAGGGUGAGAAGGCCGGCAUGGGACAGCUUCGGGAGCAGCUCGCCAGCGCCUUCCACGAGCAGAUGGAUGUGCGGAGGCGCCUGCUGGAGCUGGAGAACCGCGCCAUGGAGGUCCAGAUUGACACCUCCCGACACCUGCUCACCAUCGCCGGCUGGAAGCACGAGAAGUCCCGCCGGGCCCUCAAAUGGCGGGAGGAGCAGCGAAAGGAGUGCUACACUAAGGACGACAGCGAGAAGGACUCAGACACAGGCGAUGACCAGCCAGACAUCCUGGAGCCGCCCGAGGUGGCCGCAGCCCGGGAGAGCAUUGCAACCCUGGUGGGCGAGCAGAAGCAGCUGCACAAGCAGAAGGUGUCCAGGGUUUGGGGGAGCAAGGAGAGUGGGUUUAGGGGACAGGGUGAGCAGGUUUGAGAGGCAAGGCGGAGGGGACGGGGUGGGAGUAGCCGUGAGACUUGGGAACUCAGGCCACAAAUGCUGUGUGACUUUGCUAAGUUCUGUAACUUCUCUGUGCGUCACAUUCCCCACCUGUAAAAUGGGAGCAGUCCACGGUGCAGCCCUCAUGGGGUUGCUGGGAAGAUUACAUAAAUGCCUGGCACAUACCAAGGACUCAAAAAAUGGUAACUAAUGUUAUAAUUAGGGUUUUUCAGGCCGGGCACAGUGGCUUACACCUGUAAUCUCAGCAUGGUGGGAAGUUGAGGUAGGCAGAUCACUUGAGGCCAGGCGUUCAGCCUGGCCAACAUGGCGAAAUCCCGUCUCUACUAAAAAUACAAAAAAAAA
rnacentral:sRNA from 1 species